AAACAGUGAAAAGAAAAUCUAAAAAUCUUAGUCACUCCAUCUCCCAACGCUUUUGGGGAGCAAGCAAAAGGACGAUAGAAAAAAUCAAGUUAGUGAAAAAACUGAGAUUAAAAACAUGUAAAGCAUAAGAAAGUGGAUGUGAAAAGAAAGGAAGAUAGAGGUUACAGCUUCAGGUUUGCCAAUGAUCUUGGCAACGGUAGAGGUGGCCUCAGAGAGGAUGGAAGAGGUGUCUACGCCGUCCAGGCUCACGUUAGUGGACAGGUUCAGGCAAGGCAUCUUCGCUCUAUCACUCUUUGCUCUGCUCUGCAAAACCCUAGUUGCUUCCCUU
rnacentral:lncRNA from 1 species